GAUUAACGCUAGCGGCAGGCCUAAUACAUGCAAGUCGAGGGGUAACAGGUGUAGCAAUACAUGCUGACGACCGGCGCACGGGUGCGUAACACGUAUGCAACCUACCAAUAACUGGGGAAUAGCCUUCCGAAAGGAAGAUUAACACCGCAUAACAUCAUUCUACGGCAUCGCGGAAUGAUCAAACCUCCGGGGGUUAUUGAUGGGCAUGCGUAACAUUAGCUAGUUGGUGAGGUAACGGCUCACCAAGGCUACGAUGUUUAGGGGGUCUGAGAGGAUGAUCCCCUACACUGGUACUGAGACACGGACCAGACUCCUACGGGAGGCAGCAGUAAGGAAUAUUGGACAAUGGGGGCAACCCUGAUCCAGCCAUGCCGCGUGAAGGAUGACGGCCCUCUGGGUUGUAAACUUCUUUUGUACGGGAAUAAACCCCUCUACGUGUAGAGGGCUGAAUGUACCGUAAGAAUAAGGAUCGGCUAACUUCGUGCCAGCCGCCGCCGUAAUAC
rnacentral:rRNA from 1 species